ACAUGUGCCUCUCCGGAAUAUGUCCGGACGGAGCUGAUGGACGCACCUGCUGGCCUCCCUCUUCCUUUCCAAGCGAGGACUGUGAGCGGCCCCGGGGGCUCCCGAAUUGUCCUGUGUGGGGGGUAGGGUGUCCCGGCUUCGUUACUGAACGGGGAGGGGGGUCAAGAAAUGGGAAUGUGCGUGGGCUGCAUUUCCUGCCUCCAGCCCCACUUGAAAUGAAAACAGCUGGAUUAAAUCCUGAGUAAACAGAGGCAGAUGGCAGAGCCCGCCAAGCACAUUUCCAAAGAUAAACACAGCCAGACCGAGCUACAGUUUCUCAAAAGGCCCAGAGGGAAAAAAGAAUGACAUUUCUUCGGCUUGAAUAUUCUCUGAUCUAAGAGCUCCAACUGGUAUCUGCUUUGAUUUUAUUUAGGGGUGCCUGGGGGGCUCGGUCGUUAAGCGUCUGCCUUCAGCUGAGAUCAUGAGCCUGGGGUCCUGGGAUCGAGUCCUGCAUCGGGCUCCCUGCUUGGUGGGGAGCCUGCUUCCCCCUGCCUCUGCUUGCCUCUCCGCCUACUUGUGCACACUUUCUCUCUCUCGAAUAAAUAAAUAAAAUCUUAAACAAAACAAAGGAAGCAGUCCAACAGAAAAAUGGCCAAAGGACAUGAACCAGAGAUGACAAAAAAAAAAAAAAAAAAAAAUCCCUUCAACAUUUGAGUAAAACACUCAACCUCACACAGAAUGAAGAGAAAGUCAAAUUAAACCAGGACAUCCUACCUGGGAAACUCUCUCCCUGCCUGUUGCCUGGUUCUCCUGGGGUGGCCUCAAGAAUUGGGGUAACAGUUACCUGCUCUCUGCUUCCAUCUCUUUACCUCUGAAAUGGCAAGACUAACAGCAUCUGCCUGAAGGGGCUGUUGCCCGUGCCCAUGUGGAGCAGCAGAGCUGUGCCCCGGGCGGGUAGAGCUCCUGUCCCGGACCACACUUCCGCCCGUCCUCCAAGGCCUCCCUGAGUGGUUGGCGCCCAGCUGGUGUCCCUGGCAGUCACGGCUUGUUCAGACCCUAACCAAACCACAGCACAGGAUUUGGAGCAGGGCGCUAGCAGGCUAUCCCCCUUUUCUGGGGCUUUCUGGAAUGCUGGCCCGGGAGGCACAGGCACACGGAGCUCGCCUGGACUCCAGCCACAGCCUCUCCGCCCGCAGGGGCAAGCCGACAGCAUUGCCCAGGGCCUGGAAGGAGUCGGGGCACCCAGCUGGCCCCAGCCAGGACGGCCAGGAGGAUGUCCCCUGCAGGGGCUCCCCACACGCAGUGGGCCCCCCCCUUCUGGAAAGAAAGUCAGCAAGUCUUAGAGGCAGAGGCUGGUGUGGGAGAGUCUGGUCUGAGAGGCCCCACCCCUUCCACCCACUUUCUGCCCCUACUCAGAAACCCACUCCUUGCUGUCGGCAUCCAUCCUGGGUCUUGGGGUGCUUCAGACCCUACUCCCGCAGAGCAGCCCAGUCCCAGCCUCUAUGUCCUCUGCUCUCUGAGGUUGGCAGAAUGGUGGCCGCAAGACGUCCCCAUCCUCAUGCUCAUGGAUUUAACACCUCGUCUGACAACAGGAACUUUGCAGCCAUGAUUGACUUUGAGGUAGCGCUGGGACUAGAAGGAGCGUAGAAGGAGAAACUCAACACCAUCUACAAAGCCAGAAUGGGCGAAUCUGGCCUUCAUUCCCCUGAACAGCACACUGACCCUGUCCCUGACCCCUGACCCCGCCCCGCCUGCGUCCUCCUGGCCUGGCUCCUUGACCACCAGCCAGGGCCUUCGAUGCUCGUGGCCCCCACCCCGGCUGACACACACGGUGGUUACCUGCUCCGUACUCGAACCUUCCUGCUGCCCCUGAGGGCCACCCUCUUCUCACUUUGGCAGCCUGUGGGCUCUGGCGAGACCCACCCCACGGCCCGGCUUUUCUGCAGGACAGGGCGCUGUGACAAGUUCCCCUCUAAGCCGCGGGGCCAACGGAAUAGCCAUGUAUGCCUGGAGGCGCCGUGGGGGCUGGUGAGAUGGACGCACGCUCCUUCACCCCGGGACCUGCAAGCUCUGGGCACUCGUCCUGCAGACGGGGAGACUGGGGAGCAAGGAGGUAGCAGUGGUGACCCCAGGUAUAAACAGCGUGGGGACGUGGGGCAGAGCCUAGGCUGCAUUGCCACAUCAGCGCCUCUGCUGGAACAGAAGGCGAACACCCCACAAACUAGGGGUCCUAACGCUGUGGCAAGUACACCCCAGUACUGACACGGCCACCUGCACACGGGGCCAUGAAGGGCCAGCUGUCAGGGUGAGCUGUGAGGCAGGCUCCUUGCGGGAACCACCCUGAACCCAGGACUGGCCAGGACGCCCCCACACAGGGCCCCAGGUCUCCGGGAGUGGUCACAGGGUGUUGGUGGGAAGGUACCCUGGAGGCAAACUCUCCAGGAAGGCCCCCUCUGCAGACUUCCCCCCCGGGCUCCCAGGGGAGAGUUGGGGUACAGAUUCCUGCCCAGGCUCCGCGGGUCCGGGAACCUGGUGGAGGGACAUUGGGGGGGUUUCUCCAGGGAGAGACACCUUGUCCCUUAGAUGCCGGUGCAAGUACACACACAGGUGCGAGGCACUUGAGAUGAGCCCCACUCAGCUGUGUGCGCGGGCAUGCGUGUGUCCCCGCGCAGCGCGAGCCGCGUCGUCCGACGGCCGGCACUCUGGCUGUCCCUGAACCGCACCUCGACGGAGCACAUGAAAGACGCCUUGCGUCCACCUUCCCUGCCCGGCCUAAGGGUCUCUGAGUUCUCUGACUGCACCUGAGCCCCACUGUGUUGAUUUUCCAUGAUCCGUGGCCCCAUUCUCCUGGUAACGGCCUUCUGAGGAGCCCGCACUCCCUGCUCGCCCUGUAGGCUGACUCAUCGGCAUGGGGGUACACCUGCUUCUUCCUCCAGGCCAGGACUGGGGCGUGAGUGUCCAGGGGGACCGUCCGCCUUCGGCCCCAGCCGCACAGCAGGGGCAGUCCAUGUGUGACGGAGACCCUCUCUCUGACGCUCAAGUCUCCAGGAGAGCCCUGGGGGUGCAGUGAGUCAGGCACAGGACAGGUGGCUGCUGCCACCCACCGGGACGGACGCCACUGGAGCUGAAGGAGAGUGGAUCGUGGUUUUAGUCGCUCGCCACACGUGGGCUGGGGCACAGAUUCUCUUCUGCCUGCACCUACCAUAGCAUCGGGCACGGACGCUCUGGGGGGAUCCACUGGUCACGUUACACGUGUGUUACACGUGUGCAAGCAUGGACUCGCUCAGCGUGUUUGCUGAAGGGUCGCUCGUGAGGACAAAUCAGCCUCCGAAAUGGGGUAAGGGGGAAUCCUGUGAGGGAGGAGGGGCUCCUGGGGGAGAGAUCCUUUCAGGCCAUCACAGGGAUGCUGAUGUGCGAAGACCCCGCAGUUCCCAAAGCUGAGAAAAGCGGUGUCCUGCCUGCCCCUAGGGUGAGCCAAACCUCCCCUCCCCUUCUUCUUGGGGAGUCCCCAGGGCCUCUCCCUGCUUCUCCCCUUCCCUCAGCUAAAAGCCCUGUUCGCCCCCACACGCCUCAUCCUCAAGUGGCUUGCGGAGGCCCUGCAGUGCGGGAACCACAGUGCGUCCGCGGAGAGCACGAAGCCCAUGGGCCACACCUUCCUCCCCCUAAGCCCCUGGCCCCGCACACACGGUGAUGCUGGUUUUCCUCUGUUACAAAGUAAGUGUGUGAACAUUCAGGAUGACUCUGGGCAGGAAUGCACCAAGGUGUUCCCAUGGCUGCCAUGCCAGUGGACAGGCUGGUGUUCUGUUAAAUUAUUUUUGCUUACUUAGGUUUUCUAAUUUUUUCUACAAAGACCACAAAUUGCCUUUGUUAGAAGAAGAAAAAUGUUUACGCUCAAUAAUGAGGUCCGAGACCCAGAAGCAGAGGAAGACCAGAGAUAGUCGGCUGGGACACUCCUGAAGACAGGAUGGGUCUGCCUGAGGCAGGCCCUGACCACCAAGCAAGGAAUUCGGAGAGAAUUCAGGGGCCAAAAGGGAGCCUCUGAUGGUCCCACACAGGAGGCAUGACUCCCAGCUAGGGGCUCUGCGAAUCACUGCCUGCCCCAGAAGCGACUCUCCUUGUUCCCACUCAUCACAUGCCCACCUGCCAUGCCACCUCUUCAGGGACACCUUCCUGGGUCACCAAGGCUGAGCCCGAUGUCCCUUCUGAGGUUUUUGCCUACAGCAACACCCAUAGCAAUGAUGGCAGACAUUUCCAGCAACUUAGUGAUGCAAGUGCUAAGUGUUUUAGACCCUGUUGUAAGGAUAGUUAAAGUUUAUAACCUUCUUGCCUUCAAGGAAUUCACAGGUGGUCAUUUCAGAACUGUGUCCAGGACCUGGGCCCUCCUAUCUUCUUGAUCCAUGCUGUACGGUUUCUACUUCCAUGUUCAUCUGUGGUGCAAGAGGGUUGCUGACUUGCAGCCAUUACAUCUCAAUCCAAGCCACAGGAAGGAAAGAGGAGAGAGAAGCAUGGCCUGAGACACAAACCACACAUGCUCACAUUAUUACCUAACAUGUAGUCACAGAGGCACAGCUGGCAGCAAGAGAAACGUAGUCUAUCAGGACAACCGCAUGCCCUGCUGAAAACUGGGGCCUUGUUACCACACAAGAGGGGAGGACAAGGGGCGCCUGGGUGGCUCAGUGGGUUGAGCCUCUGCCUUCAGCUCAGGUCAUGAUCCCGGGGUCCUGGGAUCGAGCCCCGCGUCGGGCUCUCUGCUCAGCAGGGAGCCUGCUUCCCCCUCUCUGCCUGCCUCUCUACUUGUGAUCUGUCUCUGUCAAAUAAAUAAAUAAAUUCUAAAAAAAAAGGGGGGGAGGACAAGCCCACAUUGACCCCUAGUAUCCCCUAAUAUCUGUGUGCCAUGGCCCAGAUGCUCCCCGCAGCAGGCACGAGAGGAGGCCAAGGCUCGGAGGCAGGGCAGCCGUCAGAGCGGCAGGGCUGGAAGGAGCUCCUGCAGCUCCGGACCUGGUUCAGCCACACGGGCACGUCAUCGGGCCGGCCCGUGCGUGUCAGGGGUGCUCCUGCCGACCCCCUCUGCUCUCAGUGUUGGCACACAGCCAACAUUUAAUACAUGGCUGCUGUGCUCCCGGGCGGAGGACCCAAGGAUGGGGCCUGGGUUCCCUGGUCAGCCUUCUAGGGGCUUCUCUCCCGUCAAGCACUGUCUUCUUUCCUUCCACUGUUCCUUGGCCCCAGUGCACCCCCAGCUCCCGCAUGAGUGGAUUGGGGCUCAGGGCCAGCUGUGAGCUCUGCUGUCCUAAUGCUGUUGCCUCCUGGGUGCUCCCACCUCGGGUGUCACCAUGAAGCACUGGCCAGUGACUCUGUGGAGCCGGUCCCCAGUGAGGCCCUGACAGGUGCCCAAGGACCGUGUGGGUGCCAGACCCCGCCACGCAGCUGGGAACUCAGCAGAAGGAGCUUUUCAGGUUCUUGUAGCUGGGACAGUCUGGGGACACCUAGAAGAGGCCAGGGACAGGGAAGAGCGAAUUCCCACUUCCCCGGCGGGCUGCAGGAGGGGCCGCCUCUAGGGCACCAGCACGGCUGACCUCAAGUCCCCUCCGAGGGGGAACCAGCCCCCUCUUGCAGACGGGUACUGGGCAUGAGCUGUGCUGGCUCCUCAGCAAGCACUGGAUGAAUGGGUGUGAAGUGUGCCCUCCAGGGGGCCAGGCCCCAGCCCCCCUCUGCAUCAGGAAGCAUCCGACCCCACAAGGUCCCACCCCUCACCUCACGCCUGCCAUGUUCCAGGGGUCCCCAUCCAGCUUGGUCCAAACUGAGCACUCAGGGACACUGACUGGCCACAGGAGGCCACCCCCGGAGCCCAGGCGGACGCAGGGCCCGAGAAGGGUUCUCUGCUCUCGUGUUUGCACCCCUGGUGUUCGCACAGGUGUUGCGGUCCGCCCUGAGUGUCUGCCGUGAGCAGAGCAGCCGGCCGUGGGCACACGCUCGGCCCGGCCGCGGAGAGGGAGGGAGGCCGCGAGCGCAGCCAGAGCGGGACUCGGACCUGCCCAAAGCGGCGGCGGACAAGAGCCCCGCCCCCCGGCGCACGUGCAGGCCCCGGGGGCCCCCAGCCCAGCGCUGCGGCUUCUGGCUCCGGCUUUGCGUCCCGGAGCCGCUCCCCUCUGGAAAACGGGGCUCACGAGAGGUCGCGGGGGCGCGGGAGCUCGGUGCAGCGAGGCUGGAGCCCGGCUCGGCGGGACCCCGGGACGCGGGGGUCCUCCGCACGCCCACGGGGCUCCGGGCCAGACGUCGGUGCCGCGGCGCGGGGCGCGGGCGGGGAACACGGAAGCG